rnacentral:rRNA from 1 species
UACGAGAGGUCCAAACGUUAUUCGGAAUCACUGGGCUUACAGAGUUCGUAGGCGGUUCUACAAGUGAGGUGUGAAAGCCCUCGGCUCAACCGAGGAACUGCGCUUCAAACUGUAGAACUAGAGGGAGAUAAGGGUCGUGGAAUUCCCAGUGUAGAGGUGAAAUUCGUAGAUAUUGGGAAGAACACCGGUGGCGAAGGCGGCGACCUGGUCCUUUUACUGACGCUGAGGCGCGAAAGCGUGGGGAGCAAACAGG